UGAGGAAUAUUGGUCAAUGGGCUUACGCCUGAACCAGCCAAGUCGCGUGAGGGAAGACUGCCCUAUGGGUUGUAAACCUCUUUUGUCAGGGAGCAACAACAUCUACAAGUAGGUGUUACGAGAGUACCUGAAGAAAAAGCAUCGGCUAACUCCGUGCC
rnacentral:rRNA from 1 species